UUAUUUUACCGGCUCUCGUCAGAAUGUUCUGGAGCUGACUGAGAGGCAUGUGACCAAAUGACGAAUGAUGUUUUCUGUUCUUUGAUGAACCUCUGAACAGGUAUGUUUUGUUGGAUAGGACUCAUGUUGAUUUUGUAAAUAGAAGAUUUGAUUAUCUUCAUGAUGUGUUUGAUUGAAUGUGAGACAUUCAAAAUGUAGUUGUAAACUACAGCUUUUUAUCUAUUUUUAUGAAUACUUUGAGUAUUUUGGCAGUUAUUAUUUCUUAUAUAGGUCUUUUUGUUUUUAUCAGACAAAUUUUUUGAUUGUAUUCAGAAUGUUCUGGAGCUGACUGAGAGCGGCAUUUGACCAAAUGACAAAUUAUAUUUUCUGUUCUUUUGCUGAAAUCUAUGUUUCUCUGUAUCUUGUGACUAUAUUUUACCUAUAUCCUGUGAAUAAAUAUUAGCUGUAUAGUCUAUAUAAUCAAUAAUGCCCAAUACAAAGUAUAAACUGUCACUGUAACCUGUGUAACUAAUCUUUUUGACUCAGAAGCAGGGUCAGGCCCAAAGCACUGACUGGUAACCAGGCUCGUGAGCAGGUGUCAAUCUGACUGCAAAAUACAAUUCGGAGAAGAGUGUGGGAUGGAAAUUCAUCUUGAGGUUUGAGAUAAUUAAAUUCUCAGAUCGUAGUUGCCAUUGAGUCUUUGUAAUGGUAGGCUCUGCAAAGUUUACACAACAAGCACGGGUGCUCAGGAAAGAGAGAGGACGUGCCAGAACUAAUACAAAGAGGAGCUUCAUGAAACGUGGUGAGAAAAAGAUAUGAAAUCCUCCUCUGUGUCUAUUCUGCUGUCUCUCUCCGCUGUAGCAGGCUCCCUAUUUGCCAAGGCCACAGUAGUGGGACACCUGGUCAGUUGAGUGUGGGAUGAGUGUGCACUUCUUCUCGACAUGAUCCAGUGAACCUGGUGACGUGUCCGGCAGAACCCCAGAGACUCUCUGAAAGUUAAAGAGGAGAUGGAACACUCACCUGUGGAUUCGAGCUUCUCUCAGUUUCAUUGAUGAUCUUCCUCAGCGUCAGGAGCUCAGUGUGGAGGGCGGCUGGGAUUUGAACCCUCCACCUACUGACACACUGCAGCCAGGGGGAGGAGUGAAGCUGAGGAAUGCAGCUCUUCUGGAUCCACCGCCUGACAAGUGAUGCAGCUCAGUUGUGGGAGGUAAUUAAAUGCAUUUAAUCUCAGUAGGAUUUUGAGUUUUGUGCUGUCAUCGUCCAGAGAGGAAGUUAUGAUCAUCUCCUUUUAUAUUUCUUACGGAAUCCACAUUGCACAUUUAGGUUUUACCUUUCACAGAAGUCACAGAAAUCAUAUUUUUCUUUCCUUCAUUUCUUACAUCUUUGUUUUUACUUCCCCUCAUGACAUUCGCCCCAAACUGGAAAAACUCCAAGUUUUUGCCUCGGCCCAACAGCUCUAUGAAGAUGCACCAAAUUACACACAGACACUCAGAAUAAAGAAAAUUAUUUUUAAAUUGAUGAAAAACAUUGAAUAUUAAAUCUUCAGUUCAGAUAAACCAGGUAGGAUGAACACAACGUUUUCUAACUUCACUCUGAACAAAAACUAUAAAAGUGAAACUAACCCUAACCCUAAAACAAUAUGAUUUAAUAUAAUAAAUACAACAAGUCACUCUCCAGGUAGAUUUUUUAUGAUUCUACUUGACUUGUGUGUAUCCUUGGCUACACAGUACAUAUACACAAUACAUAUAUACAGUACAUAUAUACAGUACAUAUACACAAUACAUAUAUACAACACAUAUAUACAGUACAUAUUCUGCUCCCAUCAGAUAAUAAACUGAGCAACAAGCCUCCUGCUCUUCAUCAUCAACACGACAGAGUCAGAAAUGGUUGGAACCAGCCAGUUACAGUUACCUGGGAUCCCUCGAUAAGAUAAAGAAACUAAAGGAGAUCACACGUACAAAUACAGAAUUAAGAACACACAUUGUCACACUCCAGGCAAGGUAGGUAGGUGUGUGUGUGUGUGUGUGUGUGUGUGUGUGUGUGUGUGUGUGUGUGUGUGUGUGUGUGUGUGUGUGUGUGUGUGUGUGUGUGUGUGUGUGUGUGUGUGUGUGUGUGUGUGUGUGUGUGUGUGUGUGUGUGUGUGUGUGUGUGUGUGUGUGUGUGUGUGUGUGUGUGUGUGUGUGUGUGUGUGUGUGUGUGCAGCUGGUUUCCCUUUGGCCUGUGCUGAUUGGAUGUGCUUUGGGUGCCCCCUUGUGGCUGUUUUACCAAAGUGGCAGGUGAGUGAUGUGUUGCUGCAGUUUCCUGUGUGUCCCACCAUGUUGCAGCAACAGUGGAUAAGGACUGAAUGCAGAAAACUAACUAAAAUGGUUCUCAUGGUAUCAUUUGAUAAUUUAUGAUAAAAAUAUUGUUUAUAGCUAUUUUCUUUAUUUGAAAACAUUGUUUAUAAUAUUAUUAUGUUAUUUCAUAUGGUGCUUUUACAUAACAUCUCUACUCAUCAUCAUCUUCAUCCUUUGUACUGCACUUGUCAUUUAGAACGGAGCAUGUAAAUAAUGGAACAAUACAUUUUAAUCAGAAGAAUAUGAAUAAAAAGUUAAUCCUUAACAAUAUGUGAAUAACAAUAUAAUAUUAGUUUAUUACUGAAUAUUUCAUCACAUGGUCUUAGUAUAUUGUACAUCACCAUUGUUUUCUUUAUAGUCAGUACAUACAUAGAGAUAAUACAUUCAUAACUUCAUCAUCCAUAUCUGUUUCUCUGCCUUGAACUACGUGAAGUAAUAUAAAAGAUAAUUCGUCAUGUAAACAAUCAUACGGCAACAAAAAGGAUAAAAGAUCAAAAAUAAAAAAUUUACAUUUCUGGUUUAUGUCUUUUAUCGCUCGAGAUCGACUAUUGACACCGUAAAAAAACUAACAAAAAAUGUGUCAUCGAAGAGUCGAAAAUAAAAUGCACAGAGGUCCAAACUAACUCUGUUUUUCUUUCUUCAUUUUCACUGAAACUAAUUGGUUUUUAAGUCACAUUAACCAAAAAGAUACACAAGAGUAAAACAAACCAUAAUCUCUUGCACAGAUUCCCCCCCAAAAUUUUUUUUUUUCCUGAAGCUGAAUGAGACUGAAGACUUGUGGUUCUCUGAAUUUGCUUUCAGACCUGCACGGAGCUCCAGACAUGUUCCUGAGACUUUCUGGAGAGGCUGUAAGUGAGAACGUAGAGAAUGUGAGAACACAGCAGGAACAUGUCAAGAACAUUCACAGAGAGAAUCCUAAGAUGUCUGAGCAACAGCAGCCUGAAGGGACAUGUCCUCCUUGAGCUGCCUCUCUCAGGUCUCAGAGCAGUUUAAAUUCACCAAAACAAGGCUGGAGACUCUCUCAGAGUCCAGAGACAAAUAUAUACGGACUGUUGGAUCAUUGACAACGGGACGGAAAUGGAAACCAAAAGAAGCAACCCAACAGUGGCGGAGUGUUACACAAGGUGUUCAAUGUGAGGCGUCUGGGAACGCACUUGAUGCUGCUGUAUUUUUGGAGCUGAAGCACGCAAUAAAGAAGUCAUCUCAUUACCUUCAUUCCGGUCUCCAGUGGUUAUAACAAACUAUUACAGUGACUUUCGUCAUUUUCUUAAUGAAGUCCUGUAUUGUAUGAAUAGAACAAGAUUCUGUGUGACGUGCACCCACUGAGCCUGUUAUGAAGUCAACCUGUACUGCCUUAAUCUGCGACCUGUACUGAAAAUUGUUUUUGUGGGGACAGUGGACUUUAUGAAAAGAUAGACAACAUGUUUCCACUUCCUCCCAUUGUGAAAAACUGAGGCCAAAAUAUCUUGGGUGUGAUGUAAUUGAUUGGAGCUGUGUAUGUUUCUACAACAGUAAGUUGCUGUUCCUGUUUUGCAUUUGUUGGAAUGUACAGCGAGCUGUGGAAUCUUACUCCUGAUCAUUUCCUCUGCUUAUAUAUUUAUUUAAUUAUUUAUUGAGAUUCAUGUGAUUCAAAAGGCCCAGGGGUCUCAUUUAUAAAACAGUGCGUGGUAUCCAAUUCAAAGGUGGAGUCAAAAAAAACACACUCUAAGAAUUUGAUCAUCUGAAAAUGCAGGAUUAUUAAAUUCAGAGACUGCUGAGGUGUCUUCAAUCUAUACAAUUUAACAGAAUUAUUAUUAUAUGCUCAUGUUUGUACUGGGAUGGUUUGGAUCUGUGUGAUACUGGACUCAUUUCAGCACAAAGUUCACAGAUCACAGAUCAAUAGAAUCUAUAUCAGCUGAGCCCUCGCUCCAGUGUCAAGGCAGUAUUUAUUUAUUUAGAGCAGUGGUCACCAAACUUUUCGAAUCCAAGAUCACAGAGAUCUACCACCCUGAUAUCUUCCAAGAAACCAACUUAGGGUCAUAUUUAUUAUUAUUUUUUGCAAUUUGUGUUAAAGGCUGAAUGUACAAUAAAUAAAUAUACACAAAGAGAGGCAGUUAUGCAACUUUUUCUAUUCAAUGCCCAAUAUUCAAAUUAAUAUCUAUUCAUAUUUACAAUGCACAGUAUGUAGCUUCUCAGUUCUACAUCAUGUUCUGCAGAGGAGCUGCUACUGGAGCACAAUGUUUUUACAUAUAGGCUUUGAUUUGAAUAUGAACACAUAUAUGAUUAUUGCCUUGUAUAAAAAGAAGUCCCUAGUACUCAAAUAAAUACUCGUACACAGUACGAAGCCGUGCUUCUUCUGCACUUGCAAAUAUUUCACAAUAAAAAAACUUUUUAAACAAGGGAAUGGAUUUCAUUAACAGAAACGCUGAAAUGCUUUUAUUUUGAAAAGGCAUACAGAAAGUGUUGCAACCAUUUGUUUGUGACAUAAAUUCAUCAGAAAAACAUAAAAACUCAGGAAUCCACUCAUUAGUUCCAACGGGGCUUUGAUUGUUGUCGACACACCGAAAUAUGCGCAUCUUCAUACCUGAGAUUUAGUUUGGUUCAUAAACCAACUUGUUCUUGAAGGGAAUGAUGGGAAUAAACCAGCAGCUCAGACGCCAGUAGGCGGACACACAGCGCAUGUGAAAAACACACAACCGACACACAGACGACACUCACAGUGUUAGAAGAUAUUAUUAAAACCUAUUAAUGACUCGGCUCCCUAACUCCGCUAUUAAAUGGAAUCCGAACAUAAUUUGCUGUAAGUUGUUUUAUAUAUUUUUAAAUUAAAAGGUUCGUAUGGAGCAGAUAUGUCGCGCGAGCAAAACUAAGAUGGUUUUAAUGUAAAUGAUGAAUUGGAUCAAUAAUCUGCUUCAGUUCACCACCUCACGUCUGAGUGGCCACUUUCCCGUCUGCAAAACGUUCGUACGCAUGAGUCAGAGUUUGCGUGGAAAUAAGCAAAUUUCCCCGUCAAGUUUGUUUUUAUAAAUCCCAACGUUUGCGUGAGAAGUGGCGUACGCACCUUUCAGGCCCCGCUUUGUGCGCACGCAACGGUUAUAAAUGAGACCCCAGAUCUUUCAGAGUCCUCUAAUCAUAGAUAAACUGAUAUAUCACUAAAUUAUACAAGUAAGUAUUCAUAGGAAUGUACCUGUAAGCGCUCCUUCUUCCUUGUUCACUGCCGACAUGGUCUGACUUCUCCUUCUCUUCCUUGAAUCCCUUGUGCCUCAGAACCUGGAAGAAAAAUACAUUUCUCUAGUUUCAGAACCACUGUUAUUAUCAGACAUUCAAAUCAGAUCAUUAAACUAAGUUUCCAUCAUGUAAAUGACAACAUACCUGACAUGGUGUUACAGGAGAGUGUGUAGCUGCUCGUGUCAGCUCUGCUGUUUAUACUAGACAAUCAAAACCGAAAGAAUUUGAUGCACUGGAACAACAGGUUCAUAUAACUUAUCUUGUUCUCUCCUAUCUGUUAAAUAUGUCACCUUAUCUUACUUGAGGGUCAAAAUGUCACCAACUGAUCCUCACAAAGAUAUCUGUACUGGAGCACACACACACAAACACACUCAUUUAUGUACAUUUCAUAUACGCACAAUACUCUGCACUUUAACUCCAUUUUUUUGCA